rnacentral:rRNA from 1 species
AAUAUUGGACAAUGGGUGAGAGCCUGAUCCAGCCAUCCCGCGUGCAGGAAGAAUGCCUUAUGGGUUGAAAACUGCUUUUAUCCAGGAAUAAACCACUUUACGUGUAAGGUGUUGAAGGUACUGUAUGAAUAAGCAUCGGCUAACUCCUUGUCAGCAGCCGCGGUAAUACGGAGGUUGCAAGCGUUAUCCGGAUUUAUUGGGUUUAAAGGGUCCCGUAGGCGGCAUAUAAGGCAAAUGUGAAAACCCGCCGCUUAACCUUCGAACUGCCUUUGAAACUGGAUUGCUUGAAUGCGAUUGAAGGAGCCGGAAUUUGUAGUGUAGCGGAGAAAUGCCUGGAUAAUACCAAGAACACCGAAAGCGUAGGCAGGUUGCUAAGUCUUUACUGACGCUGAUGGGCGAAAGCGUGGGGAGCAAACA